UACGAAGGGGGCUAGCGUUGUUCGGAAUCACUGGGCGUAAAGCGCACGUAGGCGGAUUGUUAAGUCAGAGGUGAAAUGCCAAGGCUCAACCUUGGAACUGCCUUUGAUACUGGCAAUCUCGAGUCCGGGAGAGGUGAGUGGAACUGCGAGUGUAGAGGUGAAAUUCGUAGAUAUUCGCAAGAACACCAGUGGCGAAGGCGGCUCACUGGCCCGGUACUGACGCUGAGGAGCGAAAGCGUGGGGAGCGAACAGG
rnacentral:rRNA from 1 species